rnacentral:rRNA from 1 species
GCAAUGAUGGGUACUUAGGCUUAACGGCUCUAUAGCACGCUGGAUCUGAAAUACGACCAGGACCACAUAGUGGGAUGUAGUGGGUAAUAUUCCGCAAUUCGUUGUCUUCGGACAUGCGAGACGGAGUUACAUCACGUGUGGGAAGAUGUCUAUGACACUCUCCACCCUGUAGUCACGAUACAAGAUGUGCCAGCAGUCGCGGUAAUACAUCUGUGGCAAGCGUUGUGUAACGUUAUUCGAUGUAAAGCAGGCUUAGGCAUCAAUCCCUGUAAUGAAUCCUUCAUGGGCUCUUCAAGGGGAGCUUAUAGCUGAUGACAUGAGAAGGUGCAUAUGAAGCCUGUGGGUAAUAUAGUGUAUUAACGGUCAAAUUGUAGGAAC